rnacentral:rRNA from 1 species
UUAAUUCCCGUUGAUCCUGCGGGAGGAUACUGCUAUUGGAAUCCGAAUUAGACAUGCAAGUCAGGGGGCCUUCGGGUCCCCGGCAUAAGGCUUAGUAACACGUCGAUAAUCUGCCCUUAGAUUCAGGAUAACCUCGGGAAACUGAGAAUAAAACUGAAUAGAGAAUUAUUGCUGGAAUGCAUUUUUCUUGAAACGCAAGGUCUAAGGAUGAGUCGGCGGCUGAUUAGGUUGUUGGUGAGGUAAAGGCUCACCAAGCCUGUAAUCAGUAGGGGAGAUGAGAGUCUUGGCCUCAAGAAGGACACUGAGAUACUGGUCCUAGCCCUAAGGGGUGCAGCA